rnacentral:rRNA from 1 species
AUUGAACGCUGGCGGCAGGCCUAACACAUGCAAGUCGAACGAGUGGCGGACGGGUGAGUAAGGUCUGGGAAACUGCCUGAUGGAGGGGGAUAACUACUGGAAACGGUAGCUAAUACCGCAUACCAUCGGAUGUGCCCAGGUGGGAUUAGCUAGUGGGUGGGGUAACGGCUCACCAAGGCGACGAUCCCUAGCUGGUCUGAGAGGAGGACCAGCCACACUGGAAGUGAGACACUGUCCAGACGCCUACGGGAGGCAGCAGUGGGGAGUAUUGCACAAUGGGCGCAAGCCUGAUGCAGCCAUGCCGCGUGUAUGAAGAAGGCCUUCGGGUUGUAAAGUACUUUCAGCGAGGAGGCGUUACCCGCAGAAGAAGCACCGGCUAACUCCGUGCCAGCAGCCGCGGUAAUUC